GACAGAGGAUGCAAGCGUUAUCCGGAAUGAUUGGGCGUAAAGCGUCUGUAGGUGGCUUUUAAGUCCGCCGUCAAAUCCCAGGGCUCAACCCUGGACAGGCGGUGGAAACUACCAAGCUGGAGUACGGUAGGGGCAGAGGGAAUUUCCGGUGGAGCGGUGAAAUGCGCAGAGUAUCAGGAGGAACACCGAUGGCGAAGGCAGGUCUCUGGGCUGUAACUGACGCUGAGGAGCGAAAGCAUGGGGAGCGAACAGG
rnacentral:rRNA from 1 species